rnacentral:rRNA from 1 species
CCUACGGGAGGCAGCAGUGGGGGAUAUUGCACAAUGGGCGAAAGCCUGAUGCAGCGACGCCGCGUGAGGGAAGACGGUCUUCGGAUUGUAAACCUCUGUCUUUGGGGAAGAAGAUGACGGUACCCAAAGAGGAAGCUCCGGCGAACGACGUGCCAGCAGCCGCGGUAAUACGUAGGGAGCGAGCGUUGUCCGGAAUUACUGGGUGUACAGGGAGCGUAGGCGGGGAUGCAAGUGGGAUGUUUAAACUAUCGGCUCAACCGGUAAUUGCAACCAAAACUACAACUCUUGAGUGAAGGAGAGGCAGGCGGACUUCCUCGUGUAGCGGUUACAUGCGUAGAUAUUAGGAGGAACCCCAGUGGCGCCGGCGGCCUGCUGGGCUUUACCUGACGCUGCGGCUCGAAAGCGUGGGGAGCAAACCGGAUUAGAUACCCCAGUAGUC